CCAAUUUAAUGUGAUAAAAUGUCAUCACAAACAUGAAAUUUUAAAGCCAUCACUCAAUAAUUAUAAUUAGCCUAUGGCAAACUGCUCUGAAUACUAAAGCAACUAUAAAAGGUGAAAAUUGUCUUAAUUAGCAAAGAUGCAGAAAAUGUGUGAGACUGACUCACGUCAGGGAAGGCUCCAAUUAACCUGGCCCAGAUUGAGAUAAUUAAGAGGGCAGCUCCAAUUGUGUAAAGAAUGAAAAACUUCUGGUGUGGUAUGAGUUCUUGUAUUUUUCCAUCCCUGGGCCUGUUCUUCAGUGAUACCUUCAGGCACAUCAUCUGUUUACAUAAAAUUGUUUCCUGAGCUGGCUGCUGAAAACCAGACCUACAUCCAGCAAGCCCUGAGGAUACUCUGCAAACCCUUUUGGUUAUUAACUCUUUCAGAAGGUGCCACCUGACUUUCACACUAUUCAUGGAUCUCAGAGGUGCAUGGGAGAGAACCAGGAACUCAGAAGAGAUCUACGAUCCGUCCAUCAAAACACCACCAAAAUUCAGUACUGAAAGUACAAGGGAGUUGUUUGCAUAACAGCAAUGAACAUGGAUUUUUUUUUUUGGCAGAACUAAAAGUAAAAUGUCAAUUUGUAUUAAAAAAUCCUUAAUUGAAACUCUUAUUAACUGUGGUACUUUAGUAGGUCCAAAGUUAUGUAUUUGUGUGGUUUUUUCAUAUUUAAAUCCAUGCUACAUAUUUUAUUUAUCACAUUAAAUUGAUAUAAAUUUGCUUUUAGUUUUGAAAACCUACAAAUAAAAUUAACUGGAACUAUUGU